rnacentral:misc_RNA from 1 species
UCCGGUUUGGCACCGGCAGUCCCCCCAGAGUCCUCAGCCUAACCCGUUAGCAACUGGGGGCGGGGGUUGCGCUCGUUGCGGGACUUAACCCAACACCUCACGGCACGAGCUGACGACAGCCGUGCAGCACCUGUGCUCGCUCCCUCGCGGGUCAGCCGACUUUCGCCGGCUUACCACGAGCAUGUCAAGCCCGGGUAAGGUUCUGCGCGUUGCAUCGAAUUAAACCACACGCUCCGCUGCUUGUGCGGGCCCCCGUCAAUUCCUUUGAGUUUUAGCCUUGCGGCCGUACUCCCCAGGCGGGGCACUUAGUGCGUUAGCUUCGGCACGGACGGAGUCGACACCGCCCACACCUAGUGUCCAUCGUUUACGGCUAGGACUAC